GGUCGCUUAGCUCAGCUGGUAGAGCACCACGUUCACAUCGUGGGGGUCGCUGGUUCGAGCCCAGCAGCGACCA
rnacentral:tRNA from 1 species